rnacentral:rRNA from 1 species
UACGUAGGGGGCAAGCGUUGUCCGGAAUCAUUGGGCGUAAAGCGCGUGUAGGCGGCUCGAUAAGUCUGCUGUGAAAGUCCAAGGCUCAACCUUGGGAUGCCGGUGGAUACUGUCGAGCUCGAGUCCGGAAGAGGAGUGUGGAAUUCCUGGUGUAGCGGUGAAAUGCGCAGAGAUCAGGAGGAACACCCGUAGCGAAGGCGGCACUCUGGGCCGAUACUGACACUGAGGAGCGAAAGCGUGGGGAGCGAACAGG